AUUGAACGCUGGCGGCAUGCUUUACACAUGCAAGUCGAACGGCAGCGCGGGCUUCGGCCUGGCGGCGAGUGGCGAACGGGUGAGUAAUGCAUCGGAACGUGCCCAGUAGUGGGGGAUAGCCCGGCGAAAGCCGGAUUAAUACCGCAUACGACCUGAGGGUGAAAGCGGGGGACCGAAAGGCCUCGCGCUAUUGGAGCGGCCGAUGUCGGAUUAGCUAGUCGGUGGGGUAAAGGCUUACCAAGGCGACGAUCCGUAGCUGGUCUGAGAGGACGACCAGCCACACUGGGACUGAGACACGGCCCAGACUCCUACGGGAGGCAGCAGUGGGGAAUUUUGGACAAUGGGGGCAACCCUGAUCCAGCCAUGCCGCGUGCGGGAAGAAGGCCUUCGGGUUGUAAACCGCUUUUGUUCGGGAAGAAAUCCUCUGGGCUAAUACCCCGGGGGGAUGACGGUACCGGAAGAAUAAGCACCGGCUAACUACGUG
rnacentral:rRNA from 1 species